GGAUUUUUAAAAUUUUUAUCUUUUUGAACUUGAAAAAUCAAAAGAAGAAAAGGUAGGUGUUAUAUAUUGAUUUGGUUGUACAUAUUUGGGGGUUUUGCAUAUAAAUAUUGGUGAUUUAAAGUAAUGGGUUUUGGUUUUGUGAGUUUUUUUUGGGAUGGUUUGGUGGAAGGGAAGUCAUAAGAAUAAGCCCCAACCCUGAGGCUGUUGUCGGCGCGAGGUCUCUUUCUAUCGGCAUUGUCUGUAUCCAAAGAUGAUUCUCAAAUUUAUUUAUUCAAAAGUACAACCAAGAGAUUGAUUGAUUGAUUGAUUUUAUUCCUUCAUUCAUUCAUUAGUUUUCAGUUCUUAAAGCCCGUGAAAUCUUUGUGUAUCUCUGCUUCCCUUUACCUGCCUUUGUCUAUUUGACACUUGCAACUCCAAGAAAGUGUAAUAUAAACUCAGUUAUGAUCCGCA
rnacentral:misc_RNA from 1 species